rnacentral:rRNA from 1 species
GACGAACGCUGGCGGCGUGCCUAAUACAUGCAAGUCGAACGCAUUUUCUUUCACCGUAGCUUGCUACACCGAAAGAAAAUGAGUGGCGAACGGGUGAGUAACACGUGGGUAACCUGCCCAUCAGCGGGGGAUAACACUUGGAAACAGGUGCUAAUACCGCAUAAUUCCAUUUACCGCAUGGUAGAUGGGUGAAAGGCGCUUUUGCGUCACUGAUGGAUGGACCCGCGGUGCAUUAGCUAGUUGGUGGGGUAACGGCCUACCAAGGCUGCGAUGCAUAGCCGACCUGAGAGGGUGAUCGGCCACACUGGGAAUGAGACACGGCCCAGACUCCUACGGGAGGCAGCAGUAGGGAAUCUUCGGCAAUGGACGCAAGUCUGACCGAGCAACGCCGCGUGAGUGAAGAAGGUUUUCGGAUCGUAAAACUCUGUUGUUAGAGAAGAACAAGGAUGAGAGUGGAAAGUUCAUCCCUUGACGGUAUCUAACCAGAAAGCCACGGCUAACUACGUG